GUGGCCAUAGCUCAGUCGGUUAGAGCGCUAGUUUGUGGCACUAGAGGUCGUGGGUUCGAACCCCAUUGGCCACC
rnacentral:tRNA from 1 species